GGAAUCGCUAGUAAUCGCGGAUCAGCAUGCCGCGGUGAAUACGUUCCCGGGCCUUGUACACACCGCCCGUCACACCAUGAGAGUCGGGAACACCCGAAGUCCGUAGCCUAACCGCAAGGAGGGCGCGGCCGAAGGUGGGUUCGAUAAUUGGGGUGAAGUCGUAACAAGGUAGC
rnacentral:rRNA from 1 species